rnacentral:tRNA from 1 species
GCCUCCUUAGCUCAGACGGCAGAGCGCUUCCAUGGUAAGGAAGAGGUCGUCGGUUCGAUUCCGACAGGGGGCU